rnacentral:rRNA from 1 species
GUGCCAGCAGCCGCGGUAAUACGUAGGGCGCAAGCGUUAUCCGGAAUUAUUGGGCGUAAAGAGCUCGUAGGCGGUUUGUCGCGUCUGCCGUGAAAGUCCGGGGCUUAACCCCGGAUCUGCGGUGGGUACGGGCAGACUAGAGUGCAGUAGGGGAGACUGGAAUUCCUGGUGUAGCGGUGAAAUGCGCAGAUAUCAGGAGGAACACCGAUGGCGAAGGCAGGUCUCUGGGCUGUAACUGACGCUGAGGAGCGAAAGCAUGGGGAGCGAACAGGAUUAGAUACCCUGGUAGUCC